UACGAAGGGGGCUAGCGUUGCUCGGAAUCACUGGGCGUAAAGCGCACGUAGGCGGCUUCUUAAGUCAGGGGUGAAAUCCUGGAGCUCAACUCCAGAACUGCCUUUGAUACUGAGAAGCUUGAGUCCGGGAGAGGUGAGUGGAACUGCGAGCGUAGAGGUGAAAUUCGUAGAUAUUCGCAAGAACACCAGUGGUGAAGGCGGCUCACUGGCCCGGUACUGACGCUGAGGUGCGAAAGCGUGGGGAGCAAACAGG
rnacentral:rRNA from 1 species